UACGUAGGGUGCAAGCGUUGUCCGGAAUUAUUGGGCGUAAAGGGCUCGUAGGCGGUCCAUCGCGUCGGGAGUGAAAAGCUGGGGCUCAACCCCAGUCCUGCUUUCGAUACGGGUGGACUAGAGGUAUGCAGGGGAGAACGGAAUUCCUGGUGUAGCGGUGAAAUGCGCAGAUAUCAGGAGGAACACCGGUGGCGAAGGCGGGUCUCUGGGCCGAUACUGACGCUGAGGAGCGAAAGCGUGGGGAGCGAACAGG
rnacentral:rRNA from 1 species